rnacentral:rRNA from 1 species
UACGGAGGGUGCAAGCGUUAAUCGGAAUUACUGGGCGUAAAGCGCGCGUAGGCGGUUUUGUAAGUCGGAUGUGAAAGCCCCGGGCUUAACCUGGGAAUUGCAUUCGAUACUGCGUGACUAGAGUAUGGUAGAGGGAAGCGGAAUUCCGGGUGUAGCGGUGAAAUGCGUAGAUAUCCGGAGGAACACCAGUGGCGAAGGCGGCUUCCUGGACCAAUACUGACGCUGAGGCGCGAAAGCGUGGGGAGCAAACAGGAUUAGAUACCCUGGUAGUCCACGCCCUAAACUAUGUCAACUAGCCGUUGGGAUCAUUGAAGGUCUUAGUGGCGCAGCUAACGCGAUAAGUUGACCGCCUGGGGAGUACGGCCGCAAGGUUAAA